rnacentral:tRNA from 1 species
ACUAGUUUAUUAAAAUUAUAAUUAUACUGAAUUGAUAUUUCGGAGUUAUUGACUGGUU